rnacentral:rRNA from 1 species
GGGUCAGUAGGUUGGUCGUGCCACCGGUACGUACUGGUCUCACUGAUUCCUCCUUCCUGAAGAACCGUAAUGCCGUUAAUUUGGUGUUGCGGGGAAACAGGACUGUUACUUUGAAAAAAUUAGAGUGUUUAAAGCAAGCUAACGCUUGAAUACAUUAACAUGGAAUAAUGAAAUAGGACGAUCGAUCCUAUUUUGUUGGUUUCUAGGAUUGACGUA